AGAGUUUGAUCCUGGCUCAGGAUGAACGCUGGCGGCGUGCCUAAUACAUGCAAGUCGAACGAAUUACCUUCGGGUAGUUAGUGGCGAACGGGUGAGUAAUACGUAAGCAACCUGCCUAUGGGACUGGGAUAACGUUUGGAAACGGACGCUAAUACCGGAUAGGUGGUUGGAGGGCAUCUUCUGAUCAUUAAAGUUUAGAGACACCGAUAGAUGGGCUUACGGCGCAUUAGCUAGUUGGUGAGGUAACGGCUCACCAAGGCGAUGAUGCGUAGCCGGACUGAGAGGUUGAACGGCCACAUUGGGACUGAGACACGGCCCAAACUCCUACGGGAGGCAGCAGUAGGGAAUUUUCGGCAAUGGGGGAAACCCUGACCGAGCAACGCCGCGUGAGUGAAGACGGCCUUCGGGUUGUAAAGCUCUGUUGUAAAGGAAGAACGGCAUGGACAGAAUCCAUGAGUGACGGUACUUUACCAGAAAGCCACGGCUAACUACGUGCCAGCAGCCGCGGUAAUACGUAGGUGGCGAGCGUUAUCCGGAAUUAUUGGGCGUAAAGGGUGCGCAGGCGGUUGAUUAAGUUUAAGGUGAAAGCGUGGGGCUCAACCCCAUACAGCCUUAGAAACUGGUCUGACUAGAGUGCAGGAGAGGUUAGUGGAAUUCCAUGUGUAGCGGUAAAAUGCGUAGAUAUAUGGAGGAACACCAGUGGCGAAGGCGGCUAACUGGCCUGUAACUGACGCUGAGGCACGAAAGCGUGGGGAGCAAAUAGGAUUAGAUACCCUAGUAGUCCACGCCGUAAACGAUGGAUACUAAGUGUUGGGAAACUCAGUGCUGCAGUUAACGCAAUAAGUAUUCCGCCUGGGGAGUAUGCACGCAAGUGUGAAACUCAAAGGAAUUGACGGGGACCCGCACAAGCGGUGGAUUAUGUGGUUUAAUUCGACGCAACGCGAAGAACCUUACCAAGCCUUGACAUCCCGAGCAAAUCUAUAGAGAUAUAGAGGAGGUUAUCUCGGAGACAGGUGGUGCAUGGUUGUCGUCAGCUCGUGUCGUGAGAUGUUGGGUUAAGUCCCGCAACGAGCGCAACCCUUGUCUUUAGUUACCAGCAUUAAGUUGGGGACUCUAGAGAGACUGCCGGUGACAAACCGGAGGAAGGUGGGGAUGACGUCAAAUCAGCAUGCCCCUUAUGGCUUGGGCUACACACGUAAUACAAUGGCGGUAAACAAAAGGGAGCGAAGAGGUGACUCGGAGCAAAUCCCCAAAAGCCGUCUCAGUUCAGAUUGCAGGCUGCAACUCGCCUGCAUGAAGUCGGAAUUGCUAGUAAUCGUGAAUCAGCAUGUCACGGUGAAUACGUUCCCGGGCCUUGUACACACCGCCCGUCA
rnacentral:rRNA from 1 species